GUAUGAGAAGACAUUUAAAGCAACAAGCAAGACCUAGGUGUAAAUCGUUGUUGCUUUCAAAAUAAAACCAGCUGGAUAAAAAUCGCCCGUGAAGAAGAACCGUACAAUCGUUCAGGUUAUGGUUAAGGUGUUAUGGCUCAGAUAACAAAGUAAUGCAACUUUAGCUGAAAAAAGGAAAUGUACAUAAUGAGUACGUAUUUGGUCAUGUUAAACGUUGUAUUUCAAUAUGGGUUUUAUUUUGAAACUUGGGAAGGGACGUCUCUCUAACUUUGGAGUUAGUUACACCUUGCUGCGUCCCACCCAUAAAACCUGUGUGCAUUUGCCAUAAAAGUGCACAGGUGGGUCUGUGAGACGUGGACAGAGGACAGCUACGGACCCAAAUGGAGAGCAAGACUCCGUCCAAAGGUCCUGUCGGAGCAGGUGCCUGUGGUCUGCAGCCCCUUCCUGAGGUAGCCGAGCCCGAAGACCUGAGCAAUGUGGAGGGCAGCAAGUGCCAACCCGGACACCCUGCAGGGGCAAGAGAUGCAAAGGAGGUGCACUCAUUGGACAGCUCUCCGUCUUCCUCGGAGAGCGAGGACGAGGGUCUCUGCAAGAAAGACAAGAAGAAGAAAAAGCUGAAAAAGAAAACAAAGAAGAAGAAGAAGAAGGAUUCCAGCUCAUCCUCUUCCUCCUCCUCCUCCUCCUCCUCCUCCUCCAGUAGCUCUUCAGAGAGUGACAGCGAGGAUGACAAGAAGAAGAAGAAGAAAAAGCAGAAGAAGGACGAAGGGCAGAAAGAGUGUGUCCGGGACGAUGUUAUCAUAUGUAGUCCUGGUGGCCAGAUGGAGCAGCCGGGUGCAGAAGGUGCAGAAGGUGUGAAGAUGAGCCAGGAUUGUAACUCCUCAGAUGGUGAAGAUGACAAGAAGAAGAAGAAGAAGAAGAAGAAGAAGAAGAAGAAGCAGGACAAGAAGAAGAAGAAAAAGAAGAAGGAUUCGUCUUCUUCCUCAUCUGACUGUUCCUGCUCCGACUGCGAGGACGAAAAGAAGAAGAAGAAGAAGAAGAAGAAGAAGAAGAGGAAGAAGAAGGACUCAAGCUCCUCUUCCUCAGACAGCUCUUCAUCAUCCUCUGACAGCGAGGAUGACAAGAAGAAAAAGGACAAGAAGAAGAAGAAGAAGAAAAAGAAAGACAAGAAAAAGGAUUCCAGCUGCUCGUCUUCAUCUUCAUCUUCUGACAGUGAUAAAGAUGAGAAGAAAAAGAAGAACAAGAAGAAGAAGAAGAAGAAGAAGAAGAAGAAUGACAAGGAAAAGAAGAACAAGAAACACGAUGAAGAGCAGAAUGAGCUCUGCGGUGGAGCUGCUCCUCCAGCUUCUGGUGAGUGUUUUUCUGCAGGUGGUGAGACUCCGGGACCAAGUGCUGAUGGAGAGAAAAAGAAAGACGAUUCUGCCGACAAGGUCAAGAAAGAGCCUAAAGAAAAAGAAAAAUGUGGAGCAAAGGCCUUCGCUGACGCUAUUGAGGAAGGCCACCUGAGUGACGACGAGGGAGAAGGAGAGAACCACAAGAAGAAGAAGAAGAAGAUGCUGAAGAAGAAGAAGGAGAAGGGUUCCGGCUCAUCAUCAGACAGUGAUGACGACGAAGAAGACAAGAAGAAGAAAAAGAAGAAGAAGGAGAAGGACUCCUCCAGCUCCUCCUCUUCGUCUGAUAGUUGCUCCUCAGAUAGUGAUGAGGACAAGAAGAAGAAGAAGAAGAAGAAGAAGAAGGAUUCUGGAUCCUGCUCGUCUUCUUCAUCCUCUGAUAGCGAAGAGGACAAGAAGAAGAAGAAGAAGAAGAAGAAGAAGAAGAAGAAGAAAAAGAAGAAGAAGAUGAAGGAUAAGGACUCCUCCUCUUCUUCAUGCUCGGAUAGUGAAGAGGACAAGAAGAAGAAGAAGAAGAAGAAGAAGAAGAAGAAGACGAAGAAGAAGAAGAAGGAUAAGGACUCCUCGUCUUCUUCAUGCUCUGAUAGUGAAGAGGACAAGAAGAAGAAGAAGACGAAGAAGAAGAAGGAUAAGGACUCCUCGUCUUCUUCAUGCUCUGAUAGUGAAGAGGACAAGAAGAAGAAGAAGAAGAAGAAGAAGAAGAAGAAGAAGACGAAGAAGAAGAAGGAUAAGGACUCGUCCUCUCCUUCAUGCUCUGAUACUGAAGAGGACAAGAAGAAGAAGAAGAAGAAGAAGAAGAAGAAAAGGAAAGAUAAGAAGAAAAAGAAAGACAAGAAGAAGGACUCCGAUUCUUCUACCAGUGCUGAUGACAAAAAGAAGAAGAAAGACAAGAAGAAGAAAAAGAAGGACAAAAAGAAGGACUCAAAGUCCAGUUCAUCGUGUCCAUCUGACGGCAGUGACAAGGAGAAUAAAAAGGACAAGAAGAAGAAGAGGUCUGGUUCAUCAGGAAGUGAAACUGACAAUAAGAAAAAGAGGGAAUGCUCUGAUGGCGAGCGAGGCGGCGAAGAUCCCGGUGCCGGUCGGGCCGGACUUUCAGCUCCCGGUGGCAGCUGCUCUACGCCUGCCGCUGCUCCCGCCGUCCCCUACGUGUCCCUCCCCUCCAAACCUGUUGUGAAGAUGGAUCCUCUGCGUCCUUCAACUGUCUGCCGGCCCUCUGCCCCUGUCUCCUCUGCCCCCGCCUCUUCUGCCCCUGUCUCCUCUGCCCCCGCCUCUUCUGCCCCUGUCUCCUCUGCGCCCGCCUCUUCUGCCCCUGUCUCCUCUGCGCCCGCCUCUUCUGCCCCCGCCUCUUCUGCCCCUGUCUCCUCUGCGCCCGCCUCUUCUGCCCCUGUCUCCUCUGCGCCCGCCUCUUCUGCCCCUGUCUGCUCUGCCCCCGCCUCUUCUGUCCCUGGGUCCUAUGUCCCUGGGUCCUUUGUCGCUGGCUCCUAUGUCCCUGGGUCCUAUGUCCCCGGCUCCUCGAGUGUUGGAGAUAAGGCCCCCAAUCGUAGGCCUCCCAGCCCCAUGGAGGCCCUGAUGGGGAGCCCGAGGCGGUACGGCUCCUCCCAUCUCAGCUCAAGCGACCUAUUGAAAGGCCCCAAGCCUUAUCAAUGAUGAGAUCAAAACACGCGUUACUCGUGUUUCCUUUUAAAGCAACUGGAGGAUGUCGACCAUGAGAGGAGAUAUGAUUCCUUGAUUUCAUGCUGGAUAAAUGUGAUGACUGGUGGAAAAACGUAUUGUGACACGAUGAAAAUGUCCAAGAUGAGAAGUAUAAUCCAAACAUGGAAAGUCACGAUUGUGUUUUUAAUCAAUAAAGCGCACAUGUGUAAUAAUACUACAGUCUUCUAUGUGUUUUGUUUCAUGUCUCAGGUUUAUGCUGCCUUCAGGGGGCUUCUGAAUAAAGGAGGAAAUGGCAAUAUAGCAAA
ensembl:lncRNA